UCUGGCGGCUUUAGCGCGGUGGUCCCACCUGACCCCAUGCCGAACUCAGAAGUGAAACGCCGUAGCGCCGAUGGUAGUGUGGGGUCUCCCCAUGUGAGAGUAGG
rnacentral:rRNA from 1 species